rnacentral:rRNA from 1 species
UACGAGAGGUGCAAGCGUUAUUCGGAAUUACUGGGCGUAAAGGGUGCGUAGACGGUUUUUUAAGUCUUUUGUUUAAGACCCCGGCCUAACUGGGGACCAGCAGGAGAUACUGAUAAACUAGAGGAUGGAAGAGAGAAGUGGAAUUCUCGGAGUAGCGGUUAAAUGCGUAGAUCUCGAGAGGAACACCGAUGGCGAAAGCAGCUUCUUGGUCCAUAUCUGACGUUGAGGCACGAAAGCGUGGGGAGCAAACAGGAUUAGAAACCCCUGUAGUCC